rnacentral:lncRNA from 1 species
CAUUGGUCAACAGGUCAGCGGUGCUGAGCACUUGGUAAGUGCCCCCUGAGCUGGCUUUGUGCAGGGCCUGGCUUUACCCUUGGGUUUGUUGCUGGGGGAUAGGGGCACCCUCUGUUCUGGGCCGCGCCUGCUGCUUCACCAGCCCCAGAUGGAAAGCUCCCCCUAAGGCCCCAGCCAUCGCCUACCACUGGUCUUUCUGCCACUCAUACUGUUACUGUUACUUCUGUCCUUUCCAGAGAGGGCCCCAUGGGGUGAGUAGUCCAUGCCACUGCACAUGGGGGACCCUGGCAGAGACCCCCUCUUUGAAUGAAUGAAAUGGAAAGGUAGAUGGAAAAGAAUUUUGUGUCUCAUAAACAUACAGGAUAGGUGCUUGUGACUGUCCACAUGCUCCACGGAGGACAGAUAGCACCUGGCUGAGGAGAAGACCAUUAGGGUUUAAACCAGAGGGACCAGGCUGCCAUCUGAGUUCUGCAACUUACUAACCCUGAGGCCAGGGGAAGGAACUUCCCCUCCCCUGUUUCCUCGUCUGGCAAAUGGGGGUAGUGAAAUAGCUGCUUCUGCACGUGCUGUGGAAACAGUGGACACGCUGGGCAGAGAAGCGCCUGUCAGACCAGUCAGGUCCUCAAUUCAGUGCAAACUUAUUAGGCACCUACUGUGUGCCGUU